CAUGCAGUCGAACGGACUCAGUCGGUGGUAACACCGGCGAAAGUUAGUGGCGAACGGGUGCGUAACACGUGAGCAACCUACCCUAGAGACUGGGAUAACACCGGGAAACCGGUGCUAAUACCGGAUACCCCCAUCCCAUCGCAUGGUGGAAUGAGGAAAUGUUUUUCGCUCUUGGAGGGGCUCGCGGCCUAUCAGCUUGUUGGUGAGGUAAUGGCUCACCAAGGCUUCGACGGGUAGCUGGCCUGAGAGGACGACCAGCCACACUGGGACUGAGACACGGCCCAGACUCCUACGGGAGGCA
rnacentral:rRNA from 1 species